AUCUAAGGAACCAUAACUGAUUUAAUGAGCCAUUCUAGAGCUAAUACAUGCAGUGAGCCUGGAGCCCUUUGGGUAACGGGUGCUUUUAUUAGACCAAGAUCGAUCGGGUUUCGGCCCGUAUUGUGUGGUGACUCUGGAUAACUUUGUGCUGAUCGCAUGGCCACGAGCCGGCGACGUUUCUUUCAAGUGUCUGCCUUAUCAACUUUCGAUGGUAGGUUACUUGCUUACCAUGGUUGUUACGGGUAACGGAGAAUCAGGGUUCGAUUCCGGAGAGGGAGCCUGAGAAACGGCUACCACAUCCAAGGAAGGCAGCAGGCGCGCAAAUUACCCACUCCCGGCACGGGGAGGUAGUGACGAAAAAUAACAAUACGGGACUCUUUUGAGGCCCCGUAAUUGAAAUGAGUACACUCUAAAUCCUUUAACGAGGAUCAAUUGGAGGGCAAGUCUGGUGCCAGCAGCCGCGGUAAUUCCAGCUCCAAUAGCGUAUACUAAAGCUGCUGCGGUUAAAAAGCUCGUAGUUGGAUCUCAGUUCCAGACGAGUAGUGCAUCUACCCGAUGCGACGGCUCGGACUGAACAUCAUGCCGGUUCUUUCUUGGUGCACUUCAUUGUGUGCCUCGAGAUUGCCGGUGCUUUUACUUUGAAAAAAUUAGAGUGCUCAACGCAGGCGAGUCGCCUGAAUAAACUUGCAUGGAAUAAUAGAACAAGACCUCGUUUCUGUUCUGUUGGUUUUUGGAAUACGAGGUAAUGAUUAAGAGGGACGGACGGGGGCAUUCGUAUUGCGGCGCUAGAGGUGAAAUUCUUGGACCGUCGCAAGACGAACUACUGCGAAAGCAUUUGCCAAGAAUGUUUUCAUUGAUCAAGAACGAAAGUCAGAGGUUCGAAGGCGAUCAGAUACCGCCCUAGUUCUGACCAUAAACGAUGCCAACCAGCGAUCCGCCUGAGUUACUCAAAUGACUCGGCGGGCAGCUUCCGGGAAACCAAAGUAUUUGGGGUUCCGGGGGAAGUAUGGUUGCAAAGCUGAAACUUAAAGGAAUUGACGGAAGGGCACCACCAGGAGUGGAGCCUGCGGCUUAAUUUGACUCAACACGGGAAAACUUACCCGGCCCGGACACUGGGAGGAUUGACAGAUUGAGAGCU
rnacentral:rRNA from 1 species